rnacentral:rRNA from 1 species
GGCGGCGUGCCUAAUACAUGCAAGUCGAGCGAACGGACGAGAAGCUUGCUUCUCUGAUGUUAGCGGCGGACGGGUGAGUAACACGUGGAUAACCUACCUAUAAGACUGGGAUAACUUCGGGAAACCGGAGCUAAUACCGGAUAAUAUUUUGAACCGCAUGGUUCAAAAGUGAAAGACGGUCUUGCUGUCACUUAUAGAUGGAUCCGCGCUGCAUUAGCUAGUUGGUAAGGUAACGGCUUACCAAGGCAACGAUGCAUAGCCGACCUGAGAGGGUGAUCGGCCACACUGGAACUGAGACACGGUCCAGACUCCUACGGGAGGCAGCAGUAGGGAAUCUUCCGCAAUGGGCGAAAGCCUGACGGAGCAACGCCGCGUGAGUGAUGAAGGUCUUCGGAUCGUAAAACUCUGUUAUUAGGGAAGAACAUAUGUGUAAGUAACUGUGCACAUCUUGACGGUACCUAAUCAGAAAGCCACGGCUAACUACGUGCCAGCAGCCGCGGUAAUACGUAGGUGGCAAGCGUUAUCCGGAAUUAUUGGGCGUAAAGCGCGCGUAGGCGGUUUUUUAAGUCUGAUGUGAAAGCCCACGGCUCAACCGUGGAGGGUCAUUGGAAACUGGAAAACUUGAGUGCAGAAGAGGAAAGUGGAAUUCCAUGUGUAGCGGUGAAAUGCGCAGAGAUAUGGAGGAACACCAGUGGCGAAGGCGACUUUCUGGUCUGUAACUGACGCUGAUGUGCGAAAGCGUGGGGAUCAAACAGGAUUAGAUACCCUGGUAGUCCACGCCAUAAACGAUGAGUGCUAAGUGUUAGGGGGUUUCCGCCCCUUAGUGCUGCAGCUAACGCAUUAAGCACUCCGCCUGGGGAGUACGACCGCAAGGUUGAAACUCAAAGGAAUUGACGGGGACCCGCACAAGCGGUGGAGCAUGUGGUUUAAUUCGAAGCAACGCGAAGAACCUUACCAAAUCUUGACAUCCUUUGACAACUCUAGAGAUAGAGCCUUCCCCUUCGGGGGACAAAGUGACAGGUGGUGCAUGGUUGUCGUCAGCUCGUGUCGUGAGAUGUUGGGUUAAGUCCCGCAACGAGCGCAACCCUUAAGCUUAGUUGCCAUCAUUAAGUUGGGCACUCUAAGUUGACUGCCGGUGACAAACCGGAGGAAGGUGGGGAUGACGUCAAAUCAUCAUGCCCCUUAUGAUUUGGGCUACACACGUGCUACAAUGGACAAUACAAAGGGCAGCGAAACCGCGAGGUCAAGCAAAUCCCAUAAAGUUGUUCUCAGUUCGGAUUGUAGUCUGCAACUCGACUACAUGAAGCUGGAAUCGCUAGUAAUCGUAGAUCAGCACGCUACGAUGAAUACGUUCCCGGGUCUUGUACACACCGCCCGUCACACCACGAGAAUUUGUAACACCCGAAGCCGGUGGAGUAACCUUUUAGGAGCUAGCCGUCGAAGGUGGGACAAAUGAUUGGGGUG